AGUGGACGCUGGCGGUAGGCCUAACACAUGCAAGUCGAACGGCAGCACAGUAAGAGCUUGCUCUUACGGGUGGCGAGUGGCGGACGGGUGAGGAAUACAUCGGAAUCUACUUUUUCGUGGGGGAUAACGUAGGGAAACUUACGCUAAUACCGCAUACGACCUACGGGUGAAAGCAGGGGAUCUUCGGACCUUGCGCGAUUGAAUGAGCCGAUGUCGGAUUAGCUAGUUGGCGGGGUAAAGGCCCACCAAGGCGACGAUCCGUAGCUGGUCUGAGAGGAUGAUCAGCCACACUGGAACUGAGACACGGUCCAGACUCCUACGGGAGGCAGCAGUGGGGAAUAUUGGACAAUGGGCGCAAGCCUGAUCCAGCCAUACCGCGUGGGUGAAGAAGGCCUUCGGGUUGUAAAGCCCUUUUGUUGGGAAAGAAAAGCAGCAGGUUAAGACCCCGCUGUUCUGACGGGACCCAAAGAAUAAGCACCGGCUAACUUCGU
rnacentral:rRNA from 1 species